GUAAAUAAUGCCGAGUUCAACACGUUUGAUGACGUCAUUGUGUUUAUUUUCCUUCAAGUAUUUUGUUUAGCAGGUUGUGUCCCUUGGUUUCUGGUCAUCAGUUUGUUUUGACUAAUACUCACUCGCUACUAGUGACGUAGCGGACGGUCUGUCGACCUCUUUCCCAUCUUGUAGUCUAGAGACAAGACGUUUUCUUGAGGGAGCUCUGAUUUUCGCCUUGUACUUCAAUACUGGAUAGCCUUAUUGUUGUGUCUUGGUUGAUAUUCGGAUUAUUCUUGAAUUGGAUUAUCUUGACCCCUGUUUAGGGGUCUUAUUUUAGGUUUUAGUUCAGGCUUCAGAUUGGUUCUAGCCUUGGACUAUGGAAUUAAGUUCUCAUCCUAGAGUUCUCUGUCUGAUGUGUGGUGGUACGGCGGAGAGUACCGUUCCAGACUUCGGGUGACUGUAUUCAGACCGGUUGUUGGUUUAUGACGUUCCAGCUUGUGAUGGUAUGGUGACCUGCGCUGUGGACUAUUAAUGAAGACUGCUCUAUGUGUAUUGUUAGUUGUUAUUUGGAUAACUACCUAGGCACACUUAGUGCGAUAUUGAAGUUAAGUUAUUGUAUUAUUGGUAUGGAAAUAGCCCAUUACUUGGGAUGAAUUAGAGCAUAUUAUUUUAUAUCACGUAUUUAUAUAUCUUAUUGUAACUCACCUCAUUAUUACCAUUCAUAUUCACUCAGUGUAUAUAAUUCAUUGCAUUAAAUUCCUAAUUUUAUUUAAAUCAUCA